rnacentral:rRNA from 1 species
UACAGAGGUCUCAAGCGUUGUUCGGAUUUACUGGGCGUAAAGGGCGCGUAGGCGGGAUGGCAAGUCGGUCGUGAAAUCCCUCGGCUCAACUGAGGAUCGUCGAUCGAUACUGCCGUUCUUGAGGAUUGCAGAGGAGACUGGAAUUCCCGGUGUAGCGGUGAAAUGUGUAGAGAGUCGGGAGGAACACCGGUGGCGAAGGCGGCUUUCUGGGACGGUACUGGACGCUGAGACGCGAAAGCGUGGGGAGCGAACAGG